UACGAAGGGUGCAGGCGUUACUCGGAAUUACUGGGCGUAAAGCGUGCGUAGGCGGUUUGUUAAGUCUGUCGUGAAAGCCCCGGGCUCAACCUGGGAAUGGCGAUGGAUACUGGCGAGCUAGAGUACGGUAGAGGAGAGUGGAAUUCCCGGUGUAGCAGUGAAAUGCGUAGAGAUCGGGAGGAACAUCAGUUGCGAAGGCGGCUUUCUGGACCAGUACUGACGCUGAGGCACGAAAGCGUGGGGAGCAAACAGG
rnacentral:rRNA from 1 species